GCACAACGCGAAGAACCUUACCAGGCCUUGACAUGCAGAGAACUUUCCAGAGAUGGAUUGGUGCCUUCGGGAACUCUGACACAGGUGCUGCAUGGCUGUCAUCAGCUCGUGUCGUGAGAUGUUGGGUUAAGUCCCGUAACGAGCGCAACCCUUGUCCUUAGUUACCAGCACGUUAUGGUGGGCACUCUAAGGAGACUGCCGGUGACAAACCGGAGGAAGGUGGGGAUGACGUCAAGUCAUCAUGGCCCUUACGGCCUGGGCUACACACGUGCUACAAUGGUCGGUACAGAGGGUUGCCAAGCCGCGAGGUGGAGCUAAUCUCACAAAACCGAUCGUAGUCCGGAUCGCAGUCUGCAACUCGACUGCGUGAAGUCGGAAUCGCUAGUAAUCGCGAAUCAGAAUGUCGCGGUGAAUACGUUCCCGGGUCUUGUACACACCG
rnacentral:rRNA from 1 species